rnacentral:rRNA from 1 species
GCUUACAGCCAUACCACCCUGUUCUUGCCCGAUCUCGUCUGAUCUCGGAAGCUAAGCAGGGUCGGGCCUGGUUAGUACUUUGAAUGCGAGAACGCCUGGGAAUACCAGGUGCUGUAAGCU